rnacentral:rRNA from 1 species
AUGCGUACUGCGGUUAAUAGUAUCCACCUCGUCGAGAGGAGUGAUCGUGUAUUCUGGGGACUUAACCAGAAUGGCAAGUUCACCAACAAAUCGGUGUAUAAGAUGUUGGAGGAACCCCUUAGUGGUUGCCACUAUAGAUGGAUUUGGAAAGCCAAAAUCCCUCUUAAAAUCAAAAUCUUCCUAUGGCAGAUGUCGCAAGAUGCGAUUCUCACUAGGCAUGUCAUGAGGAAAAAGAAAUGGCCAGGUAACCCCUGUUGCUCCUUUUGCAAACAGGUUGAAACGAUGCAACACCUAUUUUUCAAUUGCCCUGUAGCUAGAAUUGUAUGGCGGUUGAUUGGAGUUGCUUUUGGUACUGAUAGAUGUCCGUCGAAUUACUAG